UCUCUGGUGGUCAAAGGUUAAGACCCUGCACUUCCAAUGCAGGGACGAGGGUUUGAUCCCUGAUCGGGGAA
rnacentral:tRNA from 1 species